rnacentral:lncRNA from 10 species
UAGGCAUUGGUAUUUUAAAAAGAACUCCUCGUGAUUCCAAUGUGCGGCCAGAGUUGAGACUACUGACGCAACAGGACAAAGUCCAAACCCCUGUGCACGGUGUGCAGUUCUUUUACUGCAAAGUUUCUGCUUAUGUUGCUGGUCUUAUCUCCCUCCACUUUCAAACCCACACUGUUCCCUGAAUGCACCACGCAAUUUCACGCUUCUGUGGUUUCACGCCAGCUGCUUCCUCUGCUGGGAAAGCUCUUUCCUGCCUGUUGGCUUCAUGGACAUCUUUAUUCUGGGCUUACUCAGCUUAAGCAUCAUGUCUAUCUGGAGGUCUUCCUUGGCCUUCUAAGGUGGAGUUGGAUGCUUUCUCCUGGGUUCCCCAUGUGGCUCCAUUCCAGUGUCCAUCACUCUGAACAGCACAGGUCGUUGUCUAGCAUCCAGCUCAAGAUUGGAGCUCUAGCAUCAUGGUUUGAAUGAAGAAGGGAAAAUAAUUUUGCUGGUGAAAAAAACCUGGAGGAGCAUGCGCUUGCCAAGAGUUAAGGGAGUCAGCAUAGACCAGACUGUGAAAGAUCAGCAGAGAUCCAUCUUGGGAAGAGCUCUGUAAGAGCUCUCAACAAAGGCAACAGCACAAAAACAAAACCAAAAGGAUUCUCCGUGAAGAAGAGACUGGCCACAGGAAGCUGAUUAUAGAGAGAUCCAAAAUGGAGGUGGAAACUGGUAAGAAGUCUGGGUCCUGCAACUCUUCUGUAUCGUUGCUGUUUCUUAGCAAUUCAAAUGUUUCUAGCAUGAAGAAAUGGCAAAUAUUUUGUCAUUUUGUCUUUGUGGAGUCGACUCUGCCUCCUUGACCAUUCUGUCAUGUUUACGUAGUUAACGUGGUAGAAAGAACAUGCACAUUGGAGUCAGAGAACUCUAGGUUUGAGUCCCAGCAUUAUCACUUACCCACCUGUGUGAUCCUGUCAAAGUCAUUUAACUCCCCAUGCCUCAGUUUCCUCAUCUGUAAAAUGGGCUAACCCACUUCAGCCAGUUAGUAUGUGGUGUAAAUGAGAUUGGUGUGCAUAAACCGGCAGGCACAACGCUGACACAUAGUAGGCGCUCAGUAAUUAUUUUUGCCUCGUUUUUCCUUGUGCUGUAAGUAAGUAAGUUUCUAUUGCCCUUGAGAAGAGAGUCUUAAAAGCAUAUUUUGUCCUGUCUGGAAAACCCGUUCUGAGGAUGGAAAAUUUUGCUGAGGAGUGAACUUGGAAGGAUCAUUAUUUCCAGGGUCAGGGCAGAAAGGAAGGGGCCCAACCCCUGGGGAAGGAAUGGCAUCAGGACACAGCUUGGUGGUGGUGACCCCCAACCAUGGGCCCAGCAGGCCCUUUGGAACUCCCACAUUGACUUCCCUAUCUAUGAAACAGUGCCAGUCACUCAGUCUCAGUGCUUCCUUCCCCUUCCCUGUCCCCUGAGGAUCCCCGGCUGGGAACUCCAGUUGUGGCGGCUCCAUAGCAC